AUGUUCCUCAGGGAUGAGCAUAUCAACAAACCUUUCUUAUUUAAAGAGGGUUCUGUCUUUACAUGUAUAGAGCUUGUAGUCUUUCUCUUUGGGUUUUGGCAUGACCACUUCAUUCCUUCCCACCAGCAGUUUCCUCUGUCAGUCUGUCUUUUUCCAACAAUUAGACCCCUGCCGCAAGAGCUGGAUUUUGCUCUCUUUUUUUGUGGCUCACUUGAGAAUUAG